rnacentral:SRP_RNA from 1 species
AUUUGCGUCAUUGGCAAAGAUUAAUUGCAAACCUGGUCAGGGUAGAAAUACAGCAGCCAUAGUAAUUGACAUUUGGGUUUUGUUUGUAAUUUAG